AUUUUAGUUAUAAAGGUUCCAUCUGUGUUUUUCUCUAUUUGUCUGAGAGAGUCUUGUUGGAGAUUCCAGGUGAGUUCAGGAGGUGAUUGUGGACAGGGAGUGAAAGCUGAGCAGGUUACAGUGACAGACUGAUGCUCCUUCAGAUUUGUUAGAUCAAUAGCAAUGUUUGGUUUCCAGGCAGAAUCUGAAAUUCCACAUUAGAGACAUUAUUAUUUUUUAGGUUUACAAUGAAAUAAAUAUUUUAUGCAUUUAAGCAGAAGUGAACAUACUCUGGUACUAAACAACAAAUUAUUAUUUUAUUCCUUUUACAUUCAUUUAUAUUUCAACUAAUUCAAGAUGUGAUUAAAAUGCUGACUUUGGGAUUUGAUUAAUAUUCCACAAAGGUAAAGCAUUAACUCAAGAUUGACUAUGGGUUACUUAUCUAAAGCAUUAUUUUAUGUUCACGCCUUCCUAAAACAAUCAAUGAUAAAUAGUGUGAUGGUCUCUCAGAAGGGCUAAAAAUCCUUUUCAUCUUGAUUUUCCACUACUACUAAAACUGAGCCAAUAAACAUUGCAGCUAAUAAAAAGUGCAUCUCUGAUUCAAAUUACAUGAUGAGUGAUGAGUUUUGCUUUGUCUUAGGUUUUGUUUUGUUUUUGUCUUUAUCUUUAGAUGAUUUCAUUUAACACAAAAAAAACAGCAUCAGCUGAAGAUUAUUGUAUUCAUAUAUUCACAAAGAGUCUCUUUGCUUAUUUAUUUUAUGUCUGUAUAAUGGAGUGGUUGUGUUGAAAAAUGAUUUUUUUUUCUAGGAAUAAUAAUACUGACAAUAAAGAAGAAGUUGAAAGUGUUUUUUCGUCUAACAUUUUUUCCAACAGCAUUUUAUUCUUGUGUAAGAAUGAGUUAAAGCUCAGCAGAUGUACCUUUUUUAUCUCAGAAACAAACAAUAAAAAAGGUUCUCAGUGUUUGAGCACUUAAGAAAAUAA